rnacentral:misc_RNA from 1 species
GGAUGGUAUAAAGACCAAAUUAUUCUGACGUAAGAGCUUAAGAUACAACAAGAUGAAAAGUAUAAUUGAGAAAUUAGUAUUCCUAUUUAUGACAAAAGGGUUGACUGGUACCGAGCUACCUAAACAUAGUUCAGGGAAAAGUCCUAUAGAGUUAUUUAUUUUAAGCUUUUUUUUUUAGAUAAAAGAUUAGAGUACAAGCUCAUAUAAGUCCAUGGCUUAAACAGGUGGAUCCUAGAUUGAAAGCUCAACCUCCCAACCCAUAACAAAACCAAGCUCAUACAAACAAAUUCUAGAUAGGAUUGGAAAUCUACCAAAAGCAAGGGACUUCUACAGUAAGAAGGCAACUGCGCCACGACAAUGUCACAGAAGGACCAUCACUGGGGAAGCUUUUUUAUCGAGAAAAACACAAAAGAGUCGAGCAAAUUGAGAGCCAAAUCAAAAGAUCCCAAAGAAGAAAAAUAUCUCGAAUCAUAAAGAAUCUAAGCUAGGAUCUCAAGCUUGGCAGAGCUCUAGGCACUCUCAAUCUAUUUUAGCCUUUGAGGUGCCGGAGAACCAACUAUUGGUGCCGAAACGUCCUCGAGAAUACCAGCCUCCGAAGAUAAACCUAACACUUGCAUGAAUCACAUAACCACAACACACACCCACAAACACAAAUGCAUAUCAAAGAAAGAAAACCCUCUCAGUAGCUCAGAUCUGUAGAGAAAACACAAACCAAAAAAGCUUUUUACACCCCACCCAGUGGUGGGAAGGGCGAACCCACGGCCAAGCAAGGAGGAGACCUUCCCUACCGUAGAUUGCAGCAGCGAAAAAGGACUGUGCCCAAGAAAAAAAAAAAAAA